GGCUGGUCCCCAGUGCAGUGGGGCUUACAACGGAUGGAUCACAACCGGCUGCAGACUCCUUUGUUCUUUCCCUUCUCCCACUGCCUCUCUUGACCAGCCUUGA
rnacentral:Y_RNA from 1 species